GACGAACGCUGGCGGCGUGCUUAACACAUGCAAGUCGAACGGAAAGGCCCUGCUUUUGUGGGGUGCUCGAGUGGCGAACGGGUGAGUAACACGUGAGUAACCUGCCCUUGACUUUGGGAUAACUUCAGGAAACUGGGGCUAAUACCGGAUAGGAGCUCCUGCUGCAUGGUGGGGGUUGGAAAGUUUCGGCGGUUGGGGGUGGACUCGCGGCUUAUCAGCUUGUUGGUGGGGUAGUGGCUUACCAAGGCUUUGACGGGUAGCCGGCCUGAGAGGGUGACCGGCCACAUUGGGACUGAGGUACGGCCCAGACUCCUACGGGAGGCAGCAGUGGGGAAUAUGGCACAAUGGGCGGAAGCCUGAUGCAGCAACGCCGCGUGCGGGAUGACGGCCUUCGGGUUGUAAACCGCUUUCGCCUGUGACGAAGCGUGAGUGACGGUAAUGGGUAAAGAAGCACCGGCUAACUACGUG
rnacentral:rRNA from 1 species